CAGUGGGUCGCCCUUUCAGAAACCCCACAUGCUUGUCUCUGGAGGUGUCAUCUGACGUGUGUGUCACUCUGCCCUCCAGUUCAGGGGUGCCUGUGACACGUGCUUAGCGGCUGCCUCUGCGUGGUGUGCUGAGUCCCGGCACACGUGACGCGGAGGUGGACGUGUAGGGCACGCAGGUGCAGACGUGGAGCCUGUGUUGACAAGGUGAGGGCGGGUUCCGGCGUAGCUUCAACAGGGCAGCGUAGGUGAGGAAGGCAGAAACCACAGGGUGGAGUUGCUUUUCGCACUGCAGGGCUGCCCGCUGCUCCCCUCCACCCUCCGCCCUCCGCAGGUAGGUGUGCGAAGGCACACGUAGGCAGGCUGCCUCACACAUCUCUGCCAUGUUUGCUACCAAAGGAAGCAUGUUAGAAGCACAUAAUUUGAGAGAACUUCAUUUCAGGAAGAGGCAAAACAGACUGGAUCUGCUACUUAAGACUCAUGUGAAAGAAAGGUUUUGGAGCAGGUGGCUGCCGGCACGAAGGAUCGAAGAAUUGUCCGGCCAGUACUUUGAGACCCCGUUCAAAGGGGGGCGUUUCCUUUGAAGAAAUGGGAUGGCUUAACCCUCCCCUCCACAGUCGCCGAUGCUUGGUGCAGAUCAGCCGGAGGGGAGCAGAAACUGCUGUGCUGCGUGGGGGGCAGUCUGUCCACGCGGGGCAGCCGGCACCUCCCAGAAGCAUCUGUUCCAAGCAGCACAGCUUGCAAAGUGCCAGCUUAGGCAGAUCAGGCAGCAUCUUUCUGCGCGCCCCGAGCCAAUCACUCAGAUGAGACGAGAGCUGCCCCCUCCUCAGAACUGGAACGGUCCCCAGUGAGGCUGGGGGCCGCCCUGGACGAUGCUGCGACUGGGGCUGCUGCCACAGGCACGUGCACAGCGUGAUCGCAAACGCAGAGGCCUUCGUCCCAACACGUUCUCUGCCAAUGUUAGCCCAGCAAAAGGGACUUCGCCGCCACUGCGAUUCUGUGUGCGGUCGUGGGCGCCUCUGCCUCGGUGUGCCUGCUGUUGGUCCCUGCUGCCCGCGGGCCUCGCCUCCCAGGCCUGGGUCCCCACUUAGAGCACUCGCAUCGCCACGUGGCAGGUUGGUGGCCCCGGGAGGCCUCAGAUCCCCACACCCUGAAUGUGCAAACCCAGAGGCUUGCUUUCCUAAUGUUCUUUAUUUUUUCACCUGAGUAACAUUUGUGCCUAAAAAUGGUGAUGUUGACAUCUCCUGGCGGGCUCCCGGGGGCUGUGUUCUCCGGGAGGUGCCGAGCUCGUGUGUCUGCAGGGUCCAUUGUGUUCCUCACUGUUCGCUUUGGGGACGUGGCCAUUUGACUAACGUGAAAUGAUCCUGGAAGGUCCGCGAGGAGGCAGGCGUGUGACUGCCACUGCCUGUGGUUCUUGGGGUUGUGUUUUUAAAGAGGCCUUCGACGAAGCCCGGGAGGUUUUGUUCCAACAGAUUCUCGGUGACACGGCCCACACAGCGUCCGGCCCUGGGCGUGUGGGGCCGGGCACCGCUUCACGCUGUGGCCCUGAGCGGACCGUCCUGGCCGCGCUGUGUGGGCCGGGGGUCGGGGGGGCAGCCACCCGUGUGUCCACUGAAUGCUGGAGCUCGCGGGGCCGCAGGCCCGCCCCAUUCACACCUCAGUUGGUGCUGAUUUGAAGUGAAGGCAGAAAUGUUGCAACUACAUGAUCCUGAGAUCUGAACUAAACACUAAUUGUUCCUGUGAUGGGUGGGAAGACCCAGUUCCCCGUUGAGGGGCUGCCCUUCCACCGGGUACCUGCAGGGCAGCAGGUGCCUAAAAGACUCCAGCUGCAUGUAGGGGGUUCCCUGGACGCCUCCCCCCCUUCUCACGUGUUGCACACUCCAGAGGGAAGCCUCGGGGGCAGGAAGGGGUCCCGGUGGAUUCUUGAGGCCAGCAGAGAAGAGAAGAGAGAAGGGCAGGCUCCUGACUGAGGGUUCUAAUUUCUUGGGCCAGGGAGUUUUCCCUCGUCGUGGGUUUGGGAUUGGGAGAUUGCCCUGGGCUUCCCGGGAGCAUGGCCCUGCUGACCUGGAUGCUGUAUUCUGUCCUCGAGCCUUUGGGGGGCUUUCAGAAGCUCCACACACCCCUGGGGCACAGCUGGCUGUCGUCCGUCUCGGGGCCAUGGGCCUGGGUUCAGCACAGCGGCAACCCUCUCAGCGUCACCCACGCCCACAGCUGUGUCUGGAGUGGCCCCGGUGGCCCAGCCAGCAGGGCAGGUGGCUGGCGCUUGGGCACUUCUGAGCUGAGCUGCCUUUGAGGAUCUUUCCCCAGAGGGGACUUGGGUCCCCACAUAAGAAUUCUUGUUCCAUGUCUUAUGUUUCCAUUUGAUCAAGCCUAAAAUCGGAAGUAAAACUAGAUUAUAGGAUUCAAAAAGAUGAACAGGUUCUCUAGGUGUGGCCCACUCUUGGGAAUCCUCAACUACAUAGGAUUUGGGUUCACAUCCAAGGCCAGAAAGUGGAAAGACCUGAAUUAGGCAUGGCAGCGUUUGGGACAGCAGGUGGUGAUACCCCACCGGUGUGUCCUCGGGGCUGUUCGCUCAGCAUCUCUGAAAUAGGCUUGCUUUUACUGGGCGAAAAUCAGUUUGGUCCAGCCAGGGCCUGACCCUGCCGCCAUGAGCAUGUUAACCCCUAUGGUGGGUGUAAGGGGAGCCCAGGGGCCCCCCAGGGUGAAGCUUCUGGCUUCCCCUGGUUGCAGAGUGGGAACACUUGGGGCCUGUGGGGCAGUGGCACUCUGACAAGGUCUGAAUUGUUCGUUGGAUGGUUAAGACCCCCGAGUGUUUCAAGAGGAUCCUUUCUGUGCUCCCUGUGGUGGGACACAGAGCACCAGGUCUCUCCCUGGGCCCUCCCACCCUCCAGGUGCCCCCAGAUCUGUGCCGGCCUCGCAGCUGUGGGAGGGGGUGGUUGGACGGACGGACUCACGUGCUCCUUCACCUGUUGCAGGUGAGAGCAUGAAGACACGUGCCUUCUGAAGGCCAGGGGCUAGGAGAGCAUGGUGGCUCCUCGGCCUCAGACCACGUUGCUCAGCGGGGCGGGGGUGGGGGGCCUCACCCAGAGGUCUGCAUUGCACAAGAGCCAGAAUGCGUACCUGUGGCUUCAUCCCCAUCUCCUCGGCCUUCAGGAGGUAUCUCAGGUUCAUGUGGAGGCUGAAGCUUCACUAGGAGCCUCCCCCCGAUCCACCCCAGGGCACUUUUGGUCAGGGUGCUGGGGAGAGGGGGCGCCCGCAUGCCACAUCCUAUGCCCCCACCCACCUAGGAACCCAGUUUCCUAGUCCGGUCAAGGGAGCUCGUUUCUCAGGAGGGUGUGACCUGCUGGUGAGACUCUGGCCUCCUGCCCUGCCGUCCCUGGCGGCGCCGUCCUGCCUUUGGGAGUUGGCUGGCCGCUCACUCAACACGGGCAGCCAGGCUGGUGGCUGGUCCAGGCCUGUGUGUGCUGGGGUAUCUCGCUGCACUCUGGUGGCUGUCACAUCCUGUUCCUGUCCUCGCGUGGUUUCCAGGGGGGCUCUGGAGCGGCCGGUGGGUUUGUGGGUUCAUCUCCAAGGGCUCCUAGCUUGUCCACUUCCACCUGGCCCAGCCCGGGCCUUGCAUCACUGUUGUUUGCCAGAAGACAGUCCAAAUGGGCUACUGUUGCUACUUUCCUCAUCCACUGCUGAGGGUUGGGGUUUGAUCCCUGAACUAGGCACUUUUUCUUUCGUUUGUUCUUCUUCUAUAUAAAUCACUGAGGCUUAAGUAAAGGAGGGGCAGUUUGGCGGGGCCCUAGGGGCACUGCUGCGAGCGCCUAGUGGCCCCAUCCCUCCUCAAGGGCGGGGCCUGGGAGCCAGAGGCGAGCUGCAAGCCGCAUGCCCCUGGGUGGCGGUCUGUCUCCCGGGACGCGCUGGAGCUCGGCAGUCUUCGUCCUGCCGGCGGAGUUCGGGCAGCGGGACCAAGGGCCCUCCUGACUGCUUCGGCCGCCUCUGUCCUCCCUGUUCACACAGGGGCCUGUUCCGAGCCGUGUCUUCACACUGGACUCGGACGCCAAGCGCGUGAAGGGCCGAGUGCUGCUUGGCCUGCGUGUGGGCUCACAGCCGCCCCGGGUGGGCGCAGAGUGGGGCAGGGGGGUGGGGGCGGGAGGGGGUGGGCCGGCAGCGGGCCCAGCCCAGGGACAUGCAUCAUGGGUGGGACGCUUGGCUAAAAAAUGACCAGAUGGAAAAGCACCUCCCGGCUAACAGUCACAUGUCUUUUCAACUUAGAACUCUUCUGUAGACCGCUUGAAUACAUUCUGGAAGUUCUCUAGAAAGGCAGGAAAUGUAUUUUGAAUAAUAGGAGCUUAAGCAAAUUGUUGUAACUUAACAUCUGGGAAAGCCAUUAAAUGUAUCACUCAGAAAUCCUCAGUCAGCUAGUCUAUGUCUCUUUAAACAGAAUUAAUGAGGUGCUUAUCCCCAGCUGUCAGGAACGACCUUUAGAGACCAUGGCCCCGUCUUUAGGGCCUUUGUCCCAGUCUCUUUGAGGGCGAUGAACCCUACCCCUGGGGCCCUGAGUAUAGACCGGGCCACUGGGGUUGGGUGGGGGUAGGCCGCACACCUCUGCUGUGCGUGUCCCCUCAGCCCCGCGGGACUCUGGGCCCUCUAGGCUCUGGGCCUCCCUCACUCUCUGUUUUCAGUUAACCUGGGGCUUCUGCCCCCUGCACCCUCUUCUUGCUGCUGAAGUUCCCUUUCUUGGUGGUUUCCAGAUUUUUCUGGUACUGCUGUAACUGAGCAGAUUUGGGGAGACUGGCUUUGUCUUUGCUGAAGAGCUUGUGCUCAGUGUGAAUGGUCACCGAGUUGCUGCAGGAGGAGUCAAAGCAGCAGGUUGAAGAAAGGAGAGCGAAGGUUGCAGAUAUCAGGUCUCUGCUUUCUGGAAAGGGGUUGGUGUGAAGGCUGUGGCCAGCCUGGCAGGCUGAG